AGAAGCUGCUCAUCCGUCAUUCCAGGACCCAGGUCUGUGGGCUGCCCACCAUCUUGACUGUUUGUAAGGAAGAGAAGGAUUCUGAAGAGUCUCCUGUGGAUGGUGACAGGUCUGACCCAGAAGUGACAUGUGUCAUUUCUGCUUAGAAUUUAUCGGCCCCGCCCACUGGAAGGGCCCCAGCUUGGCUGCAGGCUGGGGUGAUGGAGAGGGCCAGAGCCACUUGGUGAGCUGCUGUGAUGACCCCAAGCACUCUGGGAAAUGAGCAGUCAGGGUUAUAUUCAAAUUGCAUGUGCGGAGUUUGGGGCUGACUGUAGUGAUGACCCUUUCCCUGUGUGUGCAGAGUGCUAACCAGUGCACCUGCUGUCCUCCCCAGGAGGAUCCCAGUGGGGCAGAUUUGUGCAUCCAUCAACAAUCAAUUUUAAGGAAUUUUUUUUUAAUCACCCUGGAAAAAACCCUUCUACUCUGUGCUGAGAGAAUGCUCAGAGUUAUUUGGACCGUUAUAGUAUAAGAAUGCCAACAUUGCCAAUGAUCUUCAUGCCAUCAAUCAUGAAGAUGAUGAUGGAGAUGGUGUUGCUGCUGAUGCUGAUGAUACAAGGAGAGAUACAGAGAUGACGGCUCAUAGUAAGGACUUGUCAUGUGCCACGAACAGUCUUAAGCAUCUUUCCUGUAUAUUAUUAGAUAAUUCUUGCUGUGGCCCCACGAAGUAAGUACUAUUUUUUUUUUUAAGAUUUUGUUUAUU